AAGUCGUAACAAGGUUUCCGUAGGUGAACCUGCGGAAGGAUCAUUACCACGUCCCAAACGUAUCAACCAACGCGAAUAGUUUUCGACUUCUCCCAUCCACAGAGAAUGAGCUGAAUCGCACGAGUGCGUGUGCGGGAUCUGAAAAUUGAUCAGCGAGUGCGUAAACAACUUAUGGUUCCGAAAGGGCUAUAGACAGCUGUAUUUCUGGGAUGGCUUUUCUCGCUACCUUCGGUUUCCGACACCGAUUGGAGGUAGUGGGAGUAACAAACAUUAUUCACCGCUUUGCUAGUUGACUUGAUUCUGUUACUUUCGCUUCGGCGUGAGUAUCACGUUUUUAAUUAAACACAAUACAACUCUUAGCAAUGGAUAUCUAGGUUCUC
rnacentral:misc_RNA from 1 species